AGGCUCCACCUGUCAGUCAUUUGACGUCAUCAGUGGCUCCGCCCACCAGCUGCCUCCGACAGGCUCCAGCUGUUAGUCAUGUGACAUCAUCAGUGGCUCCGCCCACCAGCUGCCUCCAACAGGGUUUGGCGUCUCGGGUGCGUUCGGUGAGUGUUGGAGAACAAUGGCUGCAGAGCGGCCCCUGCAGGAGGAUUCGUGGCGAGGCGAAGAAAUGUCGUAAAGUUUACGGCAUCGAACACAGAGACCAGUGGUGCACGGCCUGUCGCUGGAAGAAAGCCUGCCAACGGUUCCUCGACUAAAGAGGAAGAGGAAGGUGAAGAGGAAGAAGAGGAAGAGGAGAAUACAUUGAAAAAUGUACUGGAAUUUUUUUAUUGACUCCCUUUCUUGAAAUACUUAAUUUUCUAUACAAGUUUCUUCCAGUUAUUUCGACUUUACCCCAAAAAUUCUCAAAAUGAGUUUUUCUGUCCUCUGACCUCAAAAGACAUUUUUACAGAAUGAUUUCAAAAGAAAAUAGAUUUUUGUUGUGCAGUUGAGAUUAUGUUCUGAUUAUAUCUCAACAACAUGAAACAAGACAUUUGAACCUGGCUUUAUCCAAACAAACGGACUUUCGGACUUCCCCUGAGAGGAUUAUUCUUCUUCGACUGAAGAGGAAGAAGAGGAAGAGGAGGAAGAUGAGGAAGAGGAGGAGGAAAUACUGAGAGAAGACAGACUGAACCAGAGGGACGUUUUGUGGAAUCUGAGUUUAUAAAUAUUUUCCGUUCUCAUUUUUAUACUCUUUCUAUACAAGUGUCCUUUUUUUUUAAAUCUUUGAAUGUAUUUUGUAGACGUCCUGUUUUUAUGAUGCACACGUUUGGGGGCAGCUAUGAUGUGACCUUUGAACCAUUGGAACUCUUGAAUUAUGAGAUUUGAAGCAGCCGAAUGGGGCGAGUUAUAAAUAUAUAAAUACUGCUGUUUAUCGAGAUUAUUCACAAAAACAUUGAAAAACAGAAACGUUGACUUUAAAGGUCCCCAAUUAUACUCUUUAUCAUCAAUAUAUGACAGGUCUCAGAUAUAUAUAGAACAGGUGAUAAGUUUGUGUUACCUUGGUUGCUGAUUGGCUAAUGGUUACACAACC